CUGGUUGAAAGUUUGUAUUGCAUAUGUUCUUAAUCUCCUUUGAUUAUCUAUCCUCGUUGCUGGUCAGAAAAAAACAAACAAAGAGCUGCCGCUAAGGUGCACUUAAAAGGACAUGGCAUCAGAUUCUGCACCUCCUACAAAAACUUUUCAACUGGUUUGGCUACGACUGGAUGUGGAAGAAGAAGAAUAUUACAGAUCACAGUUUGCUAAGUGUCAAGAAAGUUUUAUUACGUAAGUCAUGCUCAAGAAGGUUGGGUGGCAUGUUGUUUGGCCUUUUGUCUUGUGGUAUCUUAGAUUUGCAGGCCGAAUUUAAUUUCAUGCUUGGUGCUUCUUUUUGUUUCCAUGUUUCAUUUAUUUGGGAACUAUUUUAUUAUUUUUUGGCUGCUUUUUGUGAUCUACUCUCUGACGUGCACAUAUACUGGAUCAAGAGAGGUCGACAAGCGGUUUCCUGCUUUAGUGUCCAUGCUCCGGCAAAUACGGCAGGUUAAGGAUUGUUUUACUUCAAGUACUUGGGGAUGGCUCUGUAAAUAAAGUAGAUCACAAGUUCGACUCUUGAGCAAGCAUUUUCCCGCAGUCUAUAUCAAUCUAUGCAUUUCAAAACACCAAUGCUGUGGAAUUUCUUUGCCUUUGCCAAUGUAAUUGCAGCAGGGAUGUAAUAUCUACCCUGCUUUGAGACUGGUUUGGGUUCAGAUGCCUGUUCCAGUUCCAAUCCCUUGCCCAUUUCUUUGCUCUGCAACCUGUUCCGUAAUGGCUGGGUGGCAUGAGGUGCGGUUGGUAACACUGUUCUACAGGCUGCCUGCCAUCUUUCACAGUGGCAUAUUGCACAAAUACCAUGGUAACUAUCUAUUUAAGAGAAUGAAGUGAGGAAAGGCUUAUAUAAUUUGAAUGUGGCGUUUUAUCAUUUUAGAGAACAAAGUUGCCGUAAUUGGACGUGGGUGAAUAUUGAAUCCUUUUGUUAGCCAUUUACUCUUUGCUUAGGAUUGAUGAAGACUUUUUCCCUUGCA